rnacentral:rRNA from 1 species
AUAGCGUAUAUUAAAGUUGUUGCAGUUAAAAAGCUCGUAGUUGAACUUCAGACCUGGUCGGGCGGUCCGCCUCACGGUGUGUACUGUUUGACUGGGCCUUACCUCUUGGUGAGCCGGCGUGCCCUUUAUUGGUGUGCGUCGGGGAACCAGGACUUUUACCUUGAGAAAAUUAGAGUGUUCAAAGCAGGCCUAUGCCCGAAUACAUUAGCAUGGAAUAAUAAAAUAGGACGUGUGGUUCUAUUUUGUUGGUUUCUAGAGUCGCCGUAAUGAUUAAUAGGGAUAGUUGGGGGCAUUGGUAUUGAGUCGCUAGAGGUGAAAUUCUUGGAUUGACUCAAGACCAACUAUUG